GUCAUGCUAGAUUUCCCCAGUCCUUUUAAAGCUUCAACAAUGUCUUUAAGAGGAGUUCUGUGCCAUGAGAGAGAAAAACGCACAGCCUUUUUCCAUUUGAUUUUGGGUAGAUGUUUCAACCAGAAUCAAUCUUUUGCAGCAAAAGAUUUUAAAAAAAUCUUUUAUAAAAUAUUUUUGCUAAAAAAUUUGCUAAAAGCUAGCCAAUUUAAUUGGGUUUUACAAUACCAAAGACGACCUGUCACAUCUACAGCAUCUUUAAAAGCUACAGAUAGAAAUAUAAUUAUAUGCCAGUUCAUUUUUGCAUUCAUUUUGGCAUGCAGCAGAACCCCUUUCUCUAGCCAGUCUCUGCUAUUGCAGCAACACCCUGUGCUCAGCAGCGACCUGGACUUUGAUAGAAGUGGCACCAUUUUUACACCUUUAUGCCCUGGUGUUAUUCAUACUGUGUACCUUUUGCUACCAAAAGCCUCUGCAUUUCUUAAAGCUUUGUCUCAGAAGAAAGAAAUCCGGGUCAAACUCCCCUGCCUGAAAGCAAGCUGGUGGGAGAUUUAAACCUUUGUCUUAGCUCCACAUCUUAGGUGACUCUUCUGAAGAUUUAAGAGUACUAUGAAAACAUUGUCCUCUUUGCUGUGUUUUGCAUGGAACUUUAUAACAACUGAAAAGCAAGAAGCUGUUCGCAGCCUAAGAUCUAAUACAGUAAAUUAGGUCACUUCAGCUGCGUUUGUAGCAAGAUGUACGAAAGUCUGUUCCUCCCAUUGAUAACAUUGUUCCCUUGCCUAUAGGUGUUGGUUUGGAAACAAACGUAGAGCUACAAUUUAAAGUGAAACUCAUGAUUAUUCGUCCCUCAGCUAUUUUUUCCCCUCUUAUUUUGUUUCUAGUUUAACCAUUCCGGUGCAGUGAACAACUUCUGCGCUGCUGUGAGCUUGACUCCUAGCCUCAAGAUCUCACCCUCCCCAGUGUUGUCUGGAUAUCAAUUCUUUCAACCCCCAGUCCUUCCUCACAGCAAUUGCAGACUUUAGCACAUGAAACUGUAACCAAGCAAUGAACUGCAACAAAAGGCAUGCAUCAGAGGAGCUCAGGACCAGGAGGAAACCCUCUGCAUUUUUGUCAUGUAAGAAUGUCUUCUGCACUUCCAGCUAUACUGUACCAUAUUAGAUAAAUCUAAUUCCCUAGCUAAAGCACUACUUAAAUAAUUUUAAAGCAAAUUUAUCUACAUCGAUAAAUAGCACUGCUGGUCUGUGCUAUCAGAUUUUCUUUUAAAACAAGACUUUCAUUUAGGGCAAAAGUAAAAGGGUUGUGGGUAAACCUAGGGUCACUAAGGGCACUUCAUAUACCUGAAAGGAUUUACUCCUAUUUAAUGGACAUUUUUGAAUUGCAUUUUCUCCCUUGACUGUUUAGUUUGAGGAAAGCUGAAAAGUCUGGAGAUUGUUAGCUCAGUCUCCCACACUCGGUCUCCACACUGGGACAUGGCCUCCAGUAGAUUUCCCUGGGCUGAGCACAGUGCAGUUACCAAGCUGUAACUGUGUGUCUCCAGAACAGCCUCUCUGGCUCUCACCAGCACACAGACAUUACCUCCAAGUAAAGCACAGGCAAUUCAUUCUACACAGGGCCUCAGGACUUAGAUCCACCUUAUCUGCUGCUUUGUUUAACAACAUUUAUACUUCAGGACACUUAGCAUUUGCUCUCACAAGGCUCCUUACACCCAGGUUCCUCUUGUGACAGAUGUGAAGGAACCUCAUUCUCACCAACAAUGGUUGAAAAAUAGAGUGCUUUCAGAUAGGCUGCCAAACAAAGCAUAUCCUCCCUCUUCUCACCAGUGGUGGGAGCUGGCAGCAGCUACUGAAUGAUCUUUGCAUUGAAGAGGAGCUACGAGACAAAUUCGCUCCCCUCUUUUCAUUUUUGGUGCUCCAUGUCCCAGAACCACACUAAUCACAGCAUUGCAGAGCUCAGUACAACUACAGGUAGAAGCACUAGCAACAGUACCCUGGUCUGACACCUCUAGUACCUCUUCUGGCUACAGCAACUGUUUUCUGAGGGGAAAGGUGAACAUGGUUUAGGUUUGUAAAUGGUUUGCCAUUCACAAAAUCCACAUCUUCUUCCAUAUUAUGCAGCAAGCUGUGACUCACAGGGAGGUGCAAGGGAGCUCAGCAAGGCCAGCUGUUGCACUAGGUAUCAGGGAACUCUAAGUUAUGGCAGGAAAAACAUUUCCUUGUGGGUCCCAAUAUGUAAAAAGUAUAAUGUGGUAUCUGUCCAGGGGAAAAAAGCUACCUUUCAGCAGUCAGGCUUAAUUAGCAAGUUAGGCAAGCCUGACAUCAGCCAAACUGUUCAUUUCAUUCAUCACUUUUCUUUAGAACUGGAAAGAAAAAUAGAAAUCAAAAGCUAGACAUAAUAUUUUAGAAACUGGAAAAACAGGUGGGAAUAAAACCAAUGGUACGAAAGAGACUACAAUAUUCUCAACUCCUGUGCACAGCUAUAAUGUAAAAUAUACUUACUAGUGAGUAUGUCAAAGAAAUAGUGCAUAAUAUACUUACUACUAAGUAUGUCAAAGAAAUAAACUAAUUUUGUUUGCAAGGAGAAA